GUUAAAAUGGCGAAGAAGAAUAACAAACUUCUGCUACCUUGAAGUUGACGAGAAACUGAAGGAUCUGACCAUGCUGACAGCAACAUUUGUCAACAUGCAGAGGAUUUUUUUGGACCCCAAUACAUUAAAAGACAAGUGUCCUGAUCCAGAUGUAAAUGGUUAUGCAGUUUUUCCAAGAAAGCAGGAACAAUGGAGCAGAACUGAAAACUCAUUUCAAUAAAACCAUGAUCUGACUGAUCAAGUGAAAGAUGAUACCAGUUGUGAAAGUUGUCAAAACACUACAGCAAGCAAAGAGAGUAGUAAUCAUCAAUUCAUGUAACUCCUGUUAAUAUUCAUCACAUCAAAAAGAAUGUUCAAUUUUGAAAUUUGAAAAAUAUUUGGCAGUUGGAAAUCUCACUUAUUUUACAAAUUCAAGAUCAAGUAAGAACAUCACAGCAAAUUUGUAUGCUACUAAAAUGUUCAAAGCAUUAGAGAGUUUCACAAUUUACUGAUACAAACUGCAAAGUGUCCUAUCAGGAACAGGCAUUGGUGGAGUUCAGUAAGAGCCAACAGGAAAAUGAAUUGGUUUGGCUUCAAAAUCCAGAAAAUGAUUCUCCCAGAAAGUGAACAAUUACUUGUCUAUGAUACGUGAAGAUUGUUAGAGAGCAGUAAAUGUCCAGAUUGUGUUUUAUGGCAGAAGAAGAAAGUAAUGAGUGCAAAUUAUGAAAUUUUAUAAACAAAAUAAAUGGCUAAGUAGCUCCAAAAAAGGAGGAUGUAUUGUGUCACAUUCAUCAAAAAAAAAUUUUCAAGUCAUUUCACCUUCCCCCAGUAAAAAGAACUUGUCUGAAAUAUCUCAAUGUUUGUAUCGGUGAUGUUGAAAAAUUGCAGAAAUUGUUUGUACUUUAACACUCAAAUGAAUAUGUUGAUCAAAUGACUAGUAUGAUGAAUAAUGUGUUCACUUGGUUCACUUGUGUAAAUAUUGACCAAGUAUGUAUACAUGCAUUAAAUGUAAUUAUUAUUUUC